UAAAAAUCAUUGUCUACAUUAAAACUUUUUAUAGUUCAUAAAAUUAUUUCAAAUCCAUUAUCUCUUUAAAUCCUGCCUCCUCUUCAUGAGGUACUUAGGAUAGACAUUAUUUCAGUUUCACAUAAGAAAUGUUUACUCAAUGUUUAAAUGUUUUGCCCCAAAAUUCACAACUAACAAGGCAGAACUAGGACUUGAACCUGGAUCUUUUGGUUUUUAAUCCAGUAAGUGAUACAAUUCAAAGCACUCCCCCGCCAAAAAAAAAAAAAAAUUUAACAUCUUUACAGGCCGAAAAGGAAUAAAGAUUUUCUAAGAAGAGCUUUUAUUAUUGGGAUUGGCACAGUGAUUUCCAAAUAGCCAUUGUAAGGCCAAAUAAUGACACCACUUUAUCCUCCUUUUUUCUCCACAGGAAUAUGAGAUGCUGUUUUUAAUAUUAUCUCCAGUAAUUCUCCUGAGACAGAACUGUCCAUCCUGAAAUUAAGCCUGAUAUUUCCUAGCUCUGGGGAGACAUGGGUGUGGGUUCUUUAAAGCAGACUCUCAGUUAAGUUCCACCUCCAGGCAGGCCUUUGCAGGCCCCCGGCCCCUGUACUGUGAAGUAGAGGCAGAAGCUUCACUUUGCCCUCCUGUCUAGAGUAAGCUUAAAUAAGAUGAGUUCUUUCUUGCCCAGGAAUUCUGCAGGCAGUCUGAGUUGAGUUUGUAAGAAUGCCCAUAGGGUGCCACACAUCCCUUUUAGAUGAGCAUGAGCAAGGAAGAUGACCUGUAGGGAGAUUUUUUUUCCUUGUGUUGGAAAUGCUUGUUCCCUGGUGCCAUAAAGAAACAGCACUUAGACGUAAAUUUAAUUUCCUCAGCAAGGCCAUUUUUACUUUCUGCAGAAAGGGUACACUCGCCAGCAGUUUUGCCACGAGAGUACACCGAACAAAGGAGACAGGGUCAUUUAUAACCUGACGCAUCCACCUUACUGCUGUGUCCGGUUUCCAUUGGCUGGAACAGGACCUCACAUUCCGUAUUUGUGCUGAUUGGCUAGCGACUUAGAACUUUUUAAAAGAGGCAAAGGCAGAGGAGAAAAAAGGAAGGAGGAAGUAACUUGUGGAAUGCUGAGAAAGGUAAAAACACCUUCAUAUAAGGAAGAGGAACAGGCUAUGACCUAAUGCUUGCUUGGACAAGUAUAAGCAUGCCAGGGCAAAUAUUUAGGCUAAACUGUGGGAGCUAAGAACAUAAAGUACCUUGAUUUCUUUAUUAUGGCUAGCAGAUAUCUAAGCAUGUUAGCACAGGUUCUUGAAUAAAUUUUGCUUCUAAGAGAAGUUACUAUUCCUAAUUAGAUGGGGAGUAAGGUCUCUUUGAAGAGGAACCUCUACUUUACUUUUUACACUUGUGCUUUGAUAAUUUUUUACUUGGAAACCUCAUCUUUUGGCUUUUUUUUUUUUGAGCUGUUUCUCUAGUGUUGCUAUUUGAUUUAAUUUCUGACCUUCAUUUUUGUUUCCCAACCUUUUUUUUUUGUUUGAUAUGAGGGGUUCCGUGACUGAGGUUCUGAGCUGCUGUUGAUGUGCUAUACCUCCUUCAAUUCUCAGCUCUCAAAGGGGAAAACAACUGCAGAGGAUGGGAAAUGCUAUACUGCCACGCCUGGAAACACCCACAGGAAAAUUACCAGUUUUGAGCUUGCUCAACUGCAAGAAAAACUGAAGGAGACAGAAGCAGCCAUGGAAAAAUUAAUCAACAGAGUGGGACCUAAUGGGGAGAGCAGAGCACAGACUGUGACUUCUGACCAAGAGAAACGAUUGCUACAUCAGCUCCGAGAAAUCACCAGGGUCAUGAAAGAAGGAAAAUUCAUUGACAGAUUUUCUCCAGAGAAAGAAGCUGAGGAGGCCCCUUACAUGGAGGACUGGGAAGGUUACCCUGAAGAGACUUACCCAAUUUAUGACCUUUCAGACUGUAUCAAGCAUAGGCAAGAAACAAUCUUGGUGGAUUACCCUGACCCAAAAGAACUUUCUGCUGAAGAAAUAGCUGAAAGAGUGGGAAUGAUAGAAGAGGAAGAAUCAGAUCAUUUGGGUUGGGAAAGUCUGCCCACUGACCCCAGAGCCCAGGAAGAUAAUUCUGUUACCUCGUGUGAUCCAAAGCCAGAAACAUGUUCCUGCUGUUUUCAUGAAGACGAGGAUCCUGCUGUCUUGGCAGAGAAUGCUGGAUUCAGUGCAGAUAGCUACCCUGAGCAAGAGGAAACCACCAAAGAAGAGUGGUCCCAAGACUUUAAAGAUGAAGGGUUGGGCAUCAGCACCGAUAAAGCAUAUACAGGCAGCAUGCUGAGGAAGCGUAACCUCCAGGGUUUAGAGUGAAAAAAGCCAGUCUGAAGUAUCCAUUACUCAAGUCCCAAGAUGGGACCACUCAGGGGCAAAGGUCUGACUCUUCCUGGUAGGUGUAACAGAUAGUUCACCUGUGAACGAACAUCAGCUUACAGAUGAUGAGGACUUAAGGUUGCAAGAAUGAAGAUUUCAGACUCCAAGAUGCCUUAUUCUUUGGGCCUUGAGCAGAACUGCCAAGCCCAGAAGUACCUUUGCACUCCUGGUUUUCAGUGGACAGAGGAAGCUUUAGAUAGAGACUUUAGACUCUGCCCUGCAGAGUCAAGACUUGAGGCCAUUGAAGCUGCAGGAAGCCCUGCCCAGGGAUGGUCCUGCCAUGAGGAGGCUGCAACCCUAUAAGAGGGCUCAAGAUUGUGAAUUCUGCUCCUGCCGUGAGGAGCUCAGAAAGCCAGGAAGCCAGCAAUAGGGGAGAGAAUCUGUGUGCUUAUGGACAGUCGUUACCUAAAGCUGUUUCUGAAUGUUGCACCCUUUGAGAAAUUUUUUCUCAGAACCAUAAAUUGAAACAGAAAUGAGGACUGAUCUUGUAUACAAAGUGCCAACUCAACAGGGAAGUUGGAGUAUGUCUGUUGCAGAGAACCAAUAUAGCAGUGCCCAGGGGUAGAGACCAUGUGUUCCAUACUCAGAUAUUUGGGUCUUUUGAGAGAGCUGGGGAAAGUAGCAGCAACUAGAUUAAGACUGGGAGGAUUUUGACCAAACUAAAGGCCUUUUCUCCUUACUGCAUCUGAUGUGUGUCUUCUUGAGACAAGAUAGCACCCAUGAAUUACAUCAUGAGGUAUGUGUGAAUUCAGUUUACAUGUAAGACCUGAGAGUUUGAAGAGGGCACAUUCCCAAAGACAUUCCCAGUCAUGAAAUGUAGAAGACUGGAAAAUUAAGACAUUAUGUAAAGGUAGAUAUGGCUUUUAGAGUUACAUUAUGCUUGGCAUGAAUAAGGUGUCAGGAAAAUAGUUUAAAAUCAUACAUCAGCAUACAGACUGCUGUUAGAAGGUAUGGGAUCAUAUUAAGAUAAUCUGUCAGCUACUACUAGGCAUUUAUUGUUAAUUGAGUUACAGAGAAAAGUCAUUCAAGACUGAGUUUAUAGAAAGUAUAUUGCAUCUGUCUCUGUGUAGAACAUUUGAUUCACAUUGUAAAGAAUGCAGUUUAAAAUGUACUGAAUGCAAUCUAGAUGUAUUGUACACUAAAGGUGAAAAAUAACAGGUGUUCUUUACUGUUUCGAUAAA